rnacentral:SRP_RNA from 1 species
ACUGGGCAUGGUGACAUGUGCCUGUAGUCCCAGCUAUUCAGGAGGCUGAGGCAGGAGGAUCACUUGAGCCCAGGAGUUCUGGGUUGUAGUGUGUUAUGCCAAUUGGGUGUCCACACUAAGUUCAGCAUCAAUACAGUGACCUCCUGGGGUGGGGGACCAGCAGAUUGCCUAGGGAAGGGUGAACUGGCCCAGGUUGGAACUGGAGCAGGUCAGAACCGCCAUGCUGAUCAGUAGUGGGUUCCUGUUGGAAAUAGGCACUACAUGUCAGCCGGGGGGACAUAGUGAGGGCCCAUCUCU